UAGAAGUAACAUAGAUAAUGCUAUUGUUAACAAUCUUUGGCUUGUGCGAUAUAUUGACUAUAAUAAUAUCAUUACACUAUUUCAACGAAUUCUAUAUUUAGCUGUGGAAUACUUAUCAGCUCGUUAUCAAUGUUAAUUUGCACCAUCACUACACGGAGAAAUAAAUCUGUAUUGUAGAAGAUCUGUUUUCUUUUUUUUACUUUUAUAUUAAUUUGUUAAUAAAAUAAUGAAUUCAAAAUUAUUUUUUAUCUUUAAACUAAAAAAUCCUGAAACAGCGGUGACUUCUAAUCAAAUAAGCAUCCAGCUUGAAUAUUGCUAAUAGUAACGUAACAAAUAAAUUGGUUAUCGUUACUAAAGAUAAAUAAAAUAAACCUAUAUAUGAGAUUACUUCUAUAGGCAACUCGAAAUUUGAUUUAGAUGAUUUACAGUCUGGUCCAAAAAGAUCCAUAUUAAAGGUAAAUCAUGUAUAAAACUGACAACAUAAUAUUUACAUUGUAUGUUAAGUAUAUAUUUUAAUUGCUAUUAAGCCUAUUAUAGGAACAGUGUACUUAUAUGAAUCUUUGGCAUUGGUUAUUCGUCAUCUUCCCGGCGGUUGUCAGUAGUUGUUACACGAAUCAAAAGGAUAUAAAUAUUUGGAUUUUGUUAGUUACAUAUGUAUCUCUAUACACCUGUUAUGAAAUAAUUUUUAGGUCCAUUCUUUAUAUAUUAUACAGGAGUGUCAAAUUUAUUUAUUUAAAUGGCAGCAUACAUAUUAAACUAGUUUAUAAUAUAGAAUAUUAUCUAAUUAAGAAAAUAACUAUCGACAAUAACUUUUGGAUUAAUACUUUGAAAGUUAUUAGAAUUUUAAAAUAUAGUACUGAUGGUGAAGCGUAGUUACUGCUAUUUUUAUCAUUAUUUAUUCUUUGGUCACAUUUCUUCUGCCACCUAAGUACAAAAAUUAGAAUAUCUUCCAAAGCACUGGUCUAAAAGUUCUUGUUUUAAAUUACAAAUACCAUUUCCAUUAACAUAACCAUGGCUUCAUUUUAUGAGGUUAAAUAUUUUUGUGUAUGGUAUAAUUAUUGUUCAAAAAUUAACAUUUAUUAUUUGUUUUUUGUAUUUAUUAAUUAUGUGGGUCUAGAGUUCUUACAAAUGUAAAACCAACAAAACUGGAUGAUGAUGCUAUUAUUAUAUUACAAAAACUCAUUUAACUCUUAUUCCAAAAUAGACAAGACAUUAUAACGUAACUGUCAAAAAAACUGACACUAUUCAUACCCAGCUAAUAAGUCAAUCUAAACUAGAAUUUGCCCCAAAUAGGUAAUAUAUGAAAAGUCUAAUUGAUAUGACAAUUUUUUGAGUAUUCAAAGAUUGACUUGACACAAUGAAAACAGAUCAUCAUUAAAUCAAGGGAAUUUCAACAAAACCUGUGUUUUAUUUUCUAAGCAUAUACCCAUAUUUUCUGAAAUAUUUAACAAAGAAACAAAUUACACUAGUCACCAUAUUCAAAAUGAAAUAAUUGAAAUAUGUGCAAAUAGCGAAAAAGAGUAAAUAGUAUAAUGUGUGAUGAAGCAAGUUUUAGAUUUUAUAAAGAAGUACAAGUGUUUAAUUUUUAUUUGAAACUUAUAAAUUAAAUACUAAAGCUCAAAUAAUUUUACAAUCCUAUAAUAAUGGUUGGAAUUUCUGUGGAAAUAUCAUGUCUGGAAAUUUAAUGGAGUCAAUCAAGAAUAAGAAUUGGUAUGCUUUAUAGAAUAAAUCUUUUGGUUGCAGAUAGGUGCAAAAUGUUUAAAGUAAAAACCAAUAUUAAUAAAAAAUCGAAUACAAUUUUUAAUAAUAACACAAUGCAGUAAGAUGAACAUUACUUGUUGUUGAGCUUUCAGACUAAUGACAGUCAUAAAAUAUAUUUAUUAAAAUAUUAUUUUGACACGUAUGAAAUUUCAAUAAUGACCAACAACAGAAAUUU